UUCCCUUCUGUUCUUUAAGACAUGUCUUUGGUUCUGAAAAGAUGACAAUGUGACCACAAUUUCAAUAGAGAUAAAAAAUAAUUUAAGACAUCAUUCAUAGACUAUUUUUUUUUUCAGUCAGAGAAACAGCGAAUGGAAAGCACAGUCUUAAUGUCAGAAUGAUCUUGUAUCUUUUAGAAUUUGCAUAGGUGUUUCAACAACUCAGAUUAAUGACAGCUAUCAGAAUAAGUAUUUGACCAUGAGAAUUUGAAGUACUAGAUCUGGAGAGCUAUUUUUAUAGUCAGUAAAUAAUUGACUUUUUAUUUAUAUAAAUUUCAAGGUGCAUGUGUCAGAGGACACGAUGUCUGUAUUCUUGUUGAGUGGGAAAACUUACACAUCAGAAACUGUACAGAGGAGAAGAGAAGGACAAAUAAAAUUCUGACAGACCUUUUACUGAAAUAAAAGCAAAUCACAAGGUGUUCUAGUGAAAAAUAUUAAGCCUUAACUUUUCUCUUUGAUAUUCUUCCUGGGCAAUAAACAAAAAAGGUGAUGCUACAGGUUUCAAGGUUUGUGGUUGCAAAGGGACAGCACCUGUGAUUUUAAAGGCAGCAGCUGGAAGGUAAAACAUCUUAAAGAGAGCAACUAUUAAUAUUUUUAUUUCAGCACAAAAUCUGAGAGCAAAUCCAAAACUUAAGUGAUGGUUUGUUGUUUUGUUUUCCUUUGUUAUUAUUAUUUCAAGCUGCUUUUUUCCUUUUUUCUUUUUAUUUAUUCCUCAGUAACACUACCCUCACUAUAUUUAGAAUUCACAGAUAGAUAUUGCCUUUUCUAUCCGUGUUCUCUUACACCUCAUUUGAAAGUACUAGAUUAUGCCUCAGUCCAAACUUUCUUUUCAAUUUCCUUCUUUCCCUAGGCAUUUCUUUCAAUUGAGAGAUGUAUACCUGUAUUUUAGUCAAUGGGGAUCCACAAAAUACCUCGACGCCUUCAUACCUUGAAUCAUCAGGCUCCCAGCUAACUUAUUCAGUGCUGUUCACUGAAUCCUCACUACAUCCUCACCACCCUCCCCAGAGAUGUGGAAGUACUACUAUUCCAGUUUUAAGGGUGAAGCUCCAGGCCAGAUCCUAAAUGAUUUAGGCACCUAACCAACAAGUCAGAUUCUUGCCUAGCAUCCUACAGGAAGCCAGUGAAAAUCCUCUAUAUGGAAUUAUGGCAUCUCCAUAAUUGCUGUCAAAUCAUGUUAACUACUUAUCCUGGAAGAAAGUGGAGAUGACAUCUGCUAGGACAGGGAGAAACUCUGAGACAUAACUCCUGGACACAGUUGAAACAGAGUCCUAUGAAGAUGAAGAUUGCUAAUGAUCUGCAGCUGCAGAGACCCUUGUCACUUCCACUCAUUUUAUUGGAAAAUUUAGAAAACCUCUCUCUGCAUAUAAACUUCUGUUGAACUUACUUAAAUUGAUAGAGAAGCACAAAACAGAGCAAGACUAUUUGAGAUGCAUAUCAACUUCUUUCUGAUUCUUGGUUAUUAGUAAAUGCAUGCAUGCAGUUUUGAUUUU